GGCUGGAUGGCCGAGCGGUUAAGGCGUGUGACUCAAGCGUCAAAGCUUCCUUUCUCAUCAUCGUAUGAUGGCGUGGGUUCAAGUCCCACUCCAGUCA
rnacentral:tRNA from 1 species